GGCCCCGUAGUUCAAUGGACAGAACGCGAGACUUCUAAGCUCGUUAUGGGGGUUCGAUUCCCUCCGGGGCCA
rfam:Parcubacteria bacterium GW2011_GWA2_47_26 TX98_C0005, whole genome shotgun sequence.